rnacentral:ribozyme from 1 species
UGCCUAGCAACUCCUAUCCUUACCUCCACGCGGUACCGGCCGGAAACUAUGUAUGAGCAACCUUAGGGAAGAUCGGGUAACCAACCCCGGUGGGAACUUUGGUCGUAGGCUGACAGGGAAGG